UGAGUGUCAAGAGAAAAAAUACCUUGAUCACUCAGGUGCCCUCUCCUCAGUUUUUCUCUGUCCAGGCUUGAAGAACUAUAACCAUUUCCAAGUUCUAAAAGGACAGGUGGGGGAGUUAUUUGUUUGUUUAUUUGUUUGUUUUGAUUUCAGAAAGAUGUGAACUCCAGGAUCUCUUGAGAGACUGCCAGAGCCAGCAGCCCCAAGGAUACUUCGAACAGUGGGCACUGGUGCAAUUCUAUAAAAAGAAACCAGAAACCAUUUAGAUGUGUGUCAGGAAGAAGCACUUCCAGAUGCUUGAGGAAAGAUGCAAGAUAGCAAGGUGGGAAUCUGAGAAACAAGGAGUUUAAGGAUUUUGCCAUAAGUCACCUAGAAGACGCAGGGUGAGGAAGGGAUUUGAACCUGAGCAUACUGACUCCAGAGCCCUCUUAGCUGCUCCGUGGAGCAGGGGCUUUCUGCAAAGUAGAGGUUCUGAUCAUCUACUGUUGCAUAAUAAACCAAAAUUUAGUGGUUUAAAAAACG
rnacentral:lncRNA from 1 species